UACGAAGGGUGCAAGCGUUACUCGGAAUUACUGGGCGUAAAGGGUGCGUAGGUGGUUGUUUAAGUCUGCUGUGAAAGCCCCGGGCUCAACCUGGGAAUGGCAGUGGAUACUGGACAGCUAGAGUGCGGUAGAGGGUAGUGGAAUUCCCGGUGUAGCAGUGAAAUGCGUAGAGAUCGGGAGGAACACCGGUGGCGAAGGCGGCUACCUGGACCAGCACUGACACUGAAGCACGAAAGCGUGGGGAGCAAACAGG
rnacentral:rRNA from 1 species